rnacentral:sRNA from 1 species
AUCCGCCACAACCAGAACAAAAGGGGAAGCGUACUUUCACUGCUCCAGAGUCAGUUUUGGUGAUCCUGCUAACAAGAACCUGCGAAAGUUCAAUCAAGCAUAACACCAUCUCCCGGACUGCAAGCCUGGCACAAAGUACUCGAACACCUGCAAGAGGACUAGUACCUUUUCAAAAUCACUCGACGAACAUUCUGCAGAUAUGUUCUACAACUCUCUACGCUCGUAAGAGCAACAACGUGGAUCGAGCUACGGACGGUGAUGAAAUUUGCCUGGUCAGAUGGCACGGCUGACUGGAUGAAAAGUUGUCGCAGGGGGGCCACAAUAAUCAAAAUUUGUUAACUUCCAUCUCUCAUCUCUAAUACAUUCGACAAUUGCAUUCAGUGGAUGUUUUUUCCACCAACCAUGGCUGUGAGACGGUAUACCAUAUGCAACCAAGUGUUGUGAUUAUUCAAGUCAAACCAGCUGGUUGACGUCCAAAUUACCUUUUCACUAACGAGAAGCCGAUGAGGAGAUCCACCCGGUUGCAAUUUGACUGUGGGCCUUGGUAUUGGCGUGGUAGCUAGGAGUUUAACUAACUCGCUCCGUGUAUCAGCCCUAUAACUAUACCGCGUUUAUUAUUAAUGGGGGAAGAAAAAAAGAAAAACAAAACAAAACAAAACAAAAAUCGCUGGAGCUGCUAGCAGAACGGACCAACCUCACGCUUCAAAAUGUGCGGAGCCAUAAAAGAGCUGGCUUGCUUCUUGCGGAGGAGAUAGUUGUUUAUUAACAGAUGGUGGAACAACCCUACGACCUCACUGCUCCCUCUCCGACUCAUUUUUCUACACUGAGCAACACUUCUCCCUUUCUAAAGAAUACGACAUUUUGACCUUUGGCCUAGCCUCUCAAAGACUUGCAUUAACAUGGACAUGAGCAUAAGCCUGAGCGUGAACAUAAACAUGGGAUGAGUGGGUAGCGGUGGAUGAGAGAUAUUGCCACUUGAAACAGUCGAGAAAUGUUUUUUCUGAGUUAGAGGAUUUGAGAAUAUGAUUUCAAUUCAGCUUGGUUGAAAUUUACUUUAGACCGAGAUUGAAAUCAGGAACCGUUUCAACUCUUAAUGGCACACAUGCAGCAGACCUAGUACAUGGUAGUCCUCUACCAAUGAGUGCAUUCUAUGUAAAGGUUCUUAUGGUGUUUCUGACAUAGGUGAUAGACCCAGCCA